rnacentral:rRNA from 1 species
GGAUGAACGCUGGCGGCGUGCUUAACACAUGCAAGUCGAACGGUGAAGCCAAGCUUGCUUGGUGGAUCAGUGGCGAACGGGUGAGUAACACGUGAGCAACCUGCCCUGGACUCUGGGAUAAGCGCUGGAAACGGUGUCUAAUACUGGAUAUGAGACGUGAUCGCAUGGUCGUGUUUGGAAAGAUUUUUCGGUCUGGGAUGGGCUCGCGGCCUAUCAGCUUGUUGGUGAGGUAAUGGCUCACCAAGGCGUCGACGGGUAGCCGGCCUGAGAGGGUGACCGGCCACACUGGGACUGAGACACGGCCCAGAUUCCUACGGGAGGCAGCAGUGGGGAAUAUUGCACAAUGGGCGAAAGCCUGAUGCAGCAACGCCGCGUGAGGGAUGACGGCCUUCGGGUUGUAAACCUCUUUUAGCAGGGAAGAAGCGAAAGUGACGGUACCUGCAGAAAAAGCGCCGGCUAACUACGUGCCAGCAGCCGCGGUAAUACGUAGGGCGCAAGCGUUAUCCGGAAUUAUUGGGCGUAAAGAGCUCGUAGGCGGUUUGUCGCGUCUGCUGUGAAAUCCCGAGGCUCAACCUCGGGCCUGCAGUGGGUACGGGCAGACUAGAGUGCGGUAGGGGAGAUUGGAAUUCCUGGUGUAGCGGUGGAAUGCGCAGAUAUCAGGAGGAACACCGAUGGCGAAGGCAGAUCUCUGGGCCGUAACUGACGCUGAGGAGCGAAAGGGUGGGGAGCAAACAGGCUUAGAUACCCUGGUAGUCCACCCCGUAAACGUUGGGAACUAGUUGUGGGGACCAUUCCACGGUUUCCGUGACGCAGCUAACGCAUUAAGUUCCCCGCCUGGGGAGUACGGCCGCAAGGCUAAAACUCAAAGGAAUUGACGGGGACCCGCACAAGCGGCGGAGCAUGCGGAUUAAUUCGAUGCAACGCGAAGAACCUUACCAAGGCUUGACAUAUACGAGAACGGGCCAGAAAUGGUCAACUCUUUGGACACUCGUAAACAGGUGGUGCAUGGUUGUCGUCAGCUCGUGUCGUGAGAUGUUGGGUUAAGUCCCGCAACGAGCGCAACCCUCGUUCUAUGUUGCCAGCACGUAAUGGUGGGAACUCAUGGGGUACUGCCGGGGUCAACUCGGAGGAAGGUGGGGAUGACGUCAAAUCAUCAUGCCCCUUAUGUCUUGGGCUUCACGCAUGCUACAAUGGCCGGUACAAAGGGCUGCAAUACCGUGAGGUGGAGCGAAUCCCAAAAAGCCGGUCCCAGUUCGGAUUGAGGUCUGCAACUCGACCUCAUGAAGUCGGAGUCGCUAGUAAUCGCAGAUCAGCAACGCUGCGGUGAAUACGUUCCCGGGUCUUGUACA